GAUGAACGCUAGCGACAGGCCUAACACAUGCAAGUCGAGGGGCAUCGGGGUGUAGCAAUACGCUGCCGGCGACCGGCGGAUGGGUGAGUAACGCGUAUGCAACCUGCCUUCAGCAGGGGGAUAGCCCGUUAAAGAAAGACGGAUUAAUACCCCAUAACACAGGGGCUCCGCAUGGAGAUUAUUGUUAAAGGGAUACUUCCUUCGGGGGUAUUCCGGCUGAAGAUGGGCAUGCGUUCCAUUAGGUAGUUGGUUGAGGUAACGGCUCACUAAGCCUGCGAUGGAUAGGGGAACUGAGAGGUUGGUCCCCCACACUGGUACUGAGACACGGACCAGACUCCUACGGGAGGCAGCAGUGAGGAAUCUUGGUCAAUGGACGGAAGUCUGAACCAGCCAUGUCGCGUGAAGGAGGACGGCCCUAAGGGUUGUAAACUUCUUUUGCAGGGGAAUAAAGUAUUCCACGAGAUGGGAUAUUGCAAGUACGCUGCGAAUAAGGAUCGGCUAACUCCGUG
rnacentral:rRNA from 1 species